AUUACAGUAGCUAUUAACAGAGGUAAAUAUAUAAGAAUAAUAGCACAGCAAAUAAGUUUACUGGUUUUAUUUAGCAACAUCCUGCUGUGAAAUGUUUUUGCGUUUGCAGCAAUUUAGCGCUUCGCAGCAAAAUGUUAAUGAUAAGCUAAACGAGCGCAACUCAAACAGCGGAAAACUGAAUAAUAACAGAAAUAGCGUAUUUGAAUUUUUCGUUCGGAAAGUUAAGUCAUUAAGAACUUGAUAAGAAAUAAUGAUAAUCAGCUGCAUAUCCAAAUUAUGUAGCGUAUUAUAUAAAUAUAGAAUGUUUAUGUAGCCACUUGCAAUGAUUUAAAUUUAAGGGGAAAUCCUGAAGAAAGGCCAGGUCAAGAGCACCCUAAACCGACGAGCGUGUAUGAGGAAUGUCAUGAAAGUGGAGGAAGCGAAAGAGGUAUGUCAGGAUCGUAGCAAGUGGAAAUCCGUGGUCUCUGCCUACCCCUCCGGGAAAUAGGCGUGAUUAUAUGUAUUUGACGACCGGUUUGGCCUAGUGGGUAGUGACCCUGCCUACGAAGCUGAUGGUCCCGGGUUCAAAUCCUGGUAAGGGCAUGUAUUCGUGAGAUGAGCAUGGAUAUUUGUUCCUGAGUCAUGGGUGUUUUCUAUGUAUUUAAGUAUUUAUAAAUAUUUAUAUAUUAUAUAUAUCGUUGUCUAAGUACCCUCAACACAAGCCUUAUUGAGCUUACUGUGGGACUUAGUCAAUUUGUCUAAUAAUGUCCUAUAA